UACGGGGGGGGCAAGCGUUGUCCGGAAUCAUUGGGCGUAAAGCGCGCGUAGGCGGCCCGGUAAGUCCGCUGUGAAAGUCAAAGGCUCAACCUUUGAAUGUCAGCGGAUACUGCCGGGCUAGAGUCCGGAAGAGGCGAGUGGAACUCCUGGUGUAGCGGUGGAAUGCGCAGAUAUCAGGAAGAACACCAACGGCGAAGGCAGCUCGCUGGGACGGAACUGACGCUGAGGCGCGAAAGCGUGGGGAGCGAACAGG
rnacentral:rRNA from 1 species